GUUUCUCCUGCUCUCACGCUAUCUCUCUCUGUCUCUCUUCUCUCACUUCGACAGAUUCUCUCUCCACUCUCACUUUCCUUCAAACCCUAACCGUUUCUUCAUCGUGCCUCAUGCUCUGGCGCCGUCAUCUCCACCUCAAAUUCAUUCUACAACUCAUCAGAGCUAGCUAAGCAAGCCACAAAAACGAAAAACCAUAUUCAUCCUAACUCAAUCCACAUACAUCAACAAAUCAAGAAGUUCGAAAAAAUCAACAUCAAAAUUGUGUGCAUUGAUGAUUCAUCAUCGUAGGAGAAAGUCGGUGACUUUUUUUUGCAAAGUUUUAGUUUUUCCUCAUUCAACAUCAAACUCAAGCACCUUUCUUUUAUGUUUUCUUUAACAACAUAGGUCUAUACUCUAUAACAAUUACAUCCAGGUCCUUCUUUUCACUAGAUUUAAUAAGCUCAUCGUCUUUACUUUGAUAUAUUUGAUGGGAACUGAGUCAAAUGCAAAUAAGACAAUUAUGCUUAUUGGAAACAAGUGCAAAUCUGACAAUUAUGCUGAUUGGAAAUCUUGCUCACAGACGGGCCUUAACCACUGAAGAAGGUGAGCAGUUUGCAAAGGAGCAUUGGUUGAUUUUCAUGGAGGCCUCAUUAUAAACUGCUCAAAAUGUUGAAGAGGAAAGUUUUAAUACAACCUUUAUACGAGAAGAUUCAGGAUGGAGUUUUUGAUGUAUCGAAUGAGUUUUAUAAAAUAAAAGUAGGAUAUGGUGGAAUUCCUAGACCAUUUGGAGGUAGGGAUGACCCUUCUGCUGCUGGUGGAAGCUGCUGCAGCUGAAGUGAAAUAUAUUGCAAACUGUUUGUUUCAAAUGUAGUUCUUUAUGUACUCUCUUCUCUUUUGGGUUUCUACCUGAUCCAAUAGCAGCCGACAUUCUGAUGAAAGAGCUAGACAAGCUUAAGCAGUGAUUUGAUCAAGAAGGUUUGAACAUCUCCUUUCAAUGUGUUAUGGCUUUUUGUGGCUUUGGAAAAGUCAGUUGUGACUUUGUGUGGCUUUGGAAAAGCCAGUUGUGGCUUUCCUUACACCAUAGUGGUUUUAGAUUUUUUCUUCAUACUUCCAUAAAAAAUAACCUGGUAAAUUGUUUCUUUUAUUCAUUUCCACUAUCCAAUUUUCAUGUUAGUAAAAAUCUGAACCAGAUUGCUAAUGAUUCGGCUCGAAUCAAAGUGUUACCAAGGUUUGUUAACUCAGUAUUAUGCAUUAUUAGUGAAGGGCAUUUGGUUUAUGAUAUGUGCAGUCUUGGCAAAAACAGCACCUUUGGCAACUUCACAGCACCAUCAAUGAAUUCAUGUUCAGAUUCUUCAGCCUAUAACAUAAUAAUAAUAGUGAUUGUUAGAACUAUAGAGAUGGAAAUUGUGUGUAUUGCUUAUGUUAAAUAAUUAUCAUUUAAGGGAUUAUUUAUACACCAUACGUAUGCGAGUUUCACUUUAUGAAUGAGUUCAAUUUUUUCUUCGCA